rnacentral:rRNA from 1 species
GGCGUAAAGAGUGGUUAAGGGAGAUCAAAACUAAAGCCGAAUGCUUUCAAAGCUGUUAUACGCUUCCGAAAGUAAGAAGAUCAAUCACGAAAGUGGCUUUACUUCCCCUGACCCCACGAAAGCUAUGACACAAACUGGGAUUAGAUACCCCACUAUGCCUAGCCUUAAACAUCGGCAACACUUUACACCCGCUGCCCGCCAGGAAACUACGAGCGUUAGCUUAAAACCCAAAGGACUUGGCGGUGCUUUAGACCCACCUAGAGGAGCCUGUUCUAGAACCGAUAACCCCCGUUCAACCUCACCCUUCCUUGUUUUUUCCCGCCUAUAUACCACCGUCGUCAGCUUACCCUGUGAAGGCCUUAUAGUAAGCAAAAUUGGCACAGCCCAGAACGUCAGGUCGAGGUGUAGCAAAUGGAGGGGGAAGAAAUGGGCUACAUUCUUUAAUAGAAAGAAUACGAAUGAUUGACUGAAACGUCUUUCCGAAGGAGGAUUUAGCAGUAAGCAGGAAAUAGAGUGUUCUGCUGAAA